AAAUCCUUCAAAACUUAAGAUUUACCUAUGCAAAAUUCCUACUGUGAUCACAGAAACUUUAACAGUAUAAACCAGUCUUAAACUUUGGACUACAAUUUUGAAAGCUUCAAUUUUGAGCAGUUGAGCUAAGCUUCGUUUAAAUCUUUCCAUCAUUGCGCGUAAAAUGCAAUGUCUAUAUGCAAUGUUAAAGUCUGGUAAAUUUUUAAUCCUGCGUAUUGUUUAUUUUUUGUCAGGUUCCACAUUUUAGCUGCAGAUCUUUCUGUCGAAGACAGAAUCAAGAAUGCUUUGAUCGGAAUGAGAAGUAAAAGAUAACACGAAAUGUCGCGCUGGAAUUCUUUGAGAAUAAAUGUAGUCGUUGACAAUGCACGCACAUAUUUAGCGAAAUAAAAACUUUGUAAUAAAACCCCGUGCUAGAAUUAGCUGUUAGGGAGCAGUGAACAGUUAAUAUUAAGGCUGAUGGAUUAGUGGCCCGAGGUCUAAAACCAAUGUUUCACAUCAAUACCCCAUAUACUCCUGGCGAUAGUGAUGAUUCUCCCUACCUCGAUCGUGGCCAACCAUAUGACCAGCAUCUGUCAGUACCCCCACCC
rnacentral:lncRNA from 1 species